rnacentral:lncRNA from 1 species
GGUUGAGACAAACUUAAAUAAGGAAAUGGAAAAAAAAAUUCAGCAAUUUUUUUAUUUGUAAAGGGGCAUAACUCUUGAGAGGUUAAAGUGACAUCAAUAAAGUUCAAACUCAAUCUGUGUUUUGUGGUAAUAUGCAUAUAUGCAUUGUGUACAAGUUUCAUAACAUUGAAUGAGGCAAACUGAAGUGAGAGAACACAAACCAAAUUCAGGAUGCAAGGACAUACGUACAGACAAGAGUAAAACUUAAUGUCGGGGCAUAAAAAGUGCAGAAAACUGAAUAUUUGGGUAAAUUUCAAGGUGCAAGGGCUAUAACUCUGAUCAAUCUUCAAACCAGCACAAAAUUCAAACUUGAUUUGAAACUUGUCAUUAUAAAACUAUAUACUAAAUAAGAGAACAUCUUCUUCCAAGCAUGAAGAAGUGUACAGCUAUAUAUUAGUUCCUUUUCUGUAAGAACAAACAAGAGCAAGUGACUGAUGAGCUAAAUCAAAAGAACUGUGAUCAUUCUUCUGGACCAUAACAUAGUUCUGUUAUAAAAGGGAGUGAUAUAUAGGACUUUCCAGUAACUCACUUCCAACAGUUUAAAUCUCGAUUUAAAAUUAUCAUUAUUAGAAUACAGAAUCUUUCCCUUGUUGGGAAAAAAUACUUACACAUAUAAUAAUACUAUAAGUGUAGAAAAACAGCACAAUUUUUUUUUUUUUAGAAACAAUGGGCUACUCUAAAACAAAAAUUUUCAGCUUUAUAAUCUAGUUUCAUAAUGAGUAUGUUGGACAACAAAAUACCAUUCAUAUUCUUUGAAACUACAUUUACCAAAAUUUAUCCUAAAUUGACAAGGAUCUAUAACGACUACUCAUCAACUCUCUUUUGAGUUUCAUUAGAGUCUGAGUGUGGCAAUUCUACUUCCAGAAAAGAGAUCUGGAGAUACCGUAAAUUCAGAAAUUUUUGCAAGGUUUUUAUCAAUACGAAUAAUGUAACUCUUGAGCAUCACAAUGAUAAGAACUCCCAUUCUGAUAUCAAAUACACUUAUCUAUAUAUAUAGCUUUUCCAAUAAAUUGCAAUAAUUAAAUUGCCAUUUUUGUUCUUUCUUCAAAAAUUGCAAUAA